rnacentral:tRNA from 1 species
CAUUAGAUGGCUGAAAAUUAAGCAAUGGUCUCUUAAACCAAAAUAUAGUAAAAUUUACUUCUAAUGA